rnacentral:rRNA from 1 species
GAGUUUAAUUGAUUAUUUUUUUAUUAAAGUUUAAAUAUUUUAAAAAAAGAAGUUUAAAUUUAAGUAUGGGAAAAGAAUAAAUAAUUUUUAUGAUAGUUUAUUAGUAUUGUGAAAGAAAUUUUUUAAAUAAUUUAAAGAAGAAUUUAAUUUUUGUACCUUGUGUAUCAGGGUUAAUUAAUUAUAAAUUAAUUAUUUAGUAUUCUCGAAUUUAAAAGAGUUAAUUAUUUAUAAAUUUUAUUGUGAAAUAAAUAUUUAAAAUAAAUAAUUUGUAAUGAAACGUUAUUCGUUUUUAAAUAUAUCUAGUUUUUAAAGAAAAAAAUUUAAUUUUUUUAUUAAUAUUUAAAAUUUUUAUUUUUUAAUGUUUUAUUAUUAAUAAAAAAUUUUCUUAGGGAUAAGCUUAAGAAAAAAUUAUUAAAAUUAAAUGAUAAUAAAAUAAUUUAUAGGAUUAAAAAUUUCUAUAAUUAAAAAAUUGUUAUAAUUAAUUAUUUUUAAAAUUUUAUUUUUAUUUGGUUUAAUUUUUUUAUUUAAAAUUUUUUAAUAAUAUUAUUUAAAAAGCUAUAAUGAUUAAAUUAGUAAAUAAUAUUGUAUUAGUAAUUAUAUAUUUUAGGUUAGGUUAAGGAAUUCGGCAAAAUUAUUUUUCACCUGUUUAAUAAAAACAUGUCUUUUUGAUUAUAAUUUAAAGUCUAAUCUGCCCACUGAGGAAUUAAAUGGCCGCGGUAUUUUGACCGUGCGAAGGUAGCAUAAUAAUUAGUUUCUUAAUUAGAAGCUGGAAUGAAUGAUUGGAUGAGAAAAUAACUGUCUCAAUUUAAUUUUUUUUGAAUUUUAUAUUUAAGUAAAAAAGCUUAAAUGAAAUUAAAAGACGAGAAGACCCUAUAGAGUUUUAUAAAUAACUAAUUUAAGUAUAUUUGGUUUAGAUUUUUUAAAUUUUUAUAUUUAUUUUGAAGGAGGUGACAGAAAAAUUUAAUUAACUUUUUUUAUAUAAUU